rnacentral:lncRNA from 1 species
UCAAACCUAGAGUAGCUUUAUCCUCUAGCAGAUCUUGUAACCUAGUGGUUAUAACAUUUAUCUUAUCCUUCAUCCUCUUACACUAUAACGAAUGCUUUGAGAAUAAACUUUCUUACCUUGCUGGUGCGGGUUUCUGAUUCGUCGGGGCAUAGCUUCGGUUGCUAAAUCGUCGAGAAACCAAAUGACGGAGAUGAUUCAGCCACUGUUUGACAGAUUGAUUGGAUGAAACGUUUUGGAUCUGGGAUAAGAUUAACGACCGUUGCAGUGACUCAAUUCCGUUGUAAAACGAGUCGUUGGCUGCUCUGAUGAGGAUAACGGCAGAAGCAAAAUGGUAUAGAAAUGGUGACCUAAUAGGCUAAUUGUUAACAUAUGUUAGAUUAUCCGUACUAUGCUGCGGGGUUUCGAUCGAUAUAUUAACGAAUCGAACGUUCAGCGAACAGUUCGUGAACCGUUCGGCGGGAAGUUCGUUUAUGUUCGUUGAACAUGAACAAGAAAUUUUGUUCGAUUAGUUAAAUGAACGAACAUGAACAUAGGUCUCGUUCGUUCGAUUGUGUUCGUGAACGUUUGGUAAGGUGUUCGUGAACGUGUUCUUGAACAUUCGUUGAUUUGUGUUCGUUUAUGUUCGUGUGUUUGUGUUUUAAUUGAAGAUCUUUGUACUU